rnacentral:lncRNA from 1 species
AUCAAUAGCUGCUCAAUUAAAGUAUGUUGAAUGAAUGAAUUAAAGAGCAUUGGAGAGUCUGGAGACUGUUGCAUUAGCAGCAUUUCUGUUUGCCUUUGAGUCUUGCCUGUGGCACUAAGAUGGUAAAGAACAUCCCUGCCUAGAUUCUUCACUGUCAGCGGUAUGUGGUGUGACAGUGCUAAUAAGCAACCUGAUGCUGGAUUUUGAGAUUCAUCCAAUAAAGCAAAGAAGCUAUUUCUCUACCAUAAGAUCCAGCUAUCUCACUACUGGGAAUUUAUCCAAAGAACAUGAAAUCAACAAUACAAAGAGACUUAUGCACCCUUAUGUUCAUUGCAGCAUUAUUCACAAUAGCCAAGAUGUGGAAGCAACCUAAGUGCCCUUCUAUGGAUGACUGGAUAAAGAAGUUCUUCUUCCUUCGGUUAAAGAACCCCUGUCCCACGACUACCAAUUUCAUUGGACACAUGGCUGCCCAGAGCGUUUUAUAACCCUUAGACUGCGUAUGUGAAAGAGAUUGUACUGGAAGAAGACACACCAGAUGGCAUAAAGGGGGAAAAGCCAAUCUAAUCUAAAAUGUG